AGUGGAACUACAGCGAUUCAGCGGUGACCGGCGCAGAUCCAAGCAGCUGGAGGAUCCGGAGAGAUUUCUGAAGCGAUUCGAAUGCUCCUUACGUGGACUGGCUUCCUUUAUAUCUUCUUAAGAUUUUUAAGACGAGGCUGUGCAGGACAGUAGAAGCCGUUGAAGUUUUGACUGUGGGUUUGCACUCUCUCACCCACGCUCUGUCUCCAGAAGCUGCAGGGGUUUUGCUGAGUUGGCAAAAACGCGUCGCGACGCAGGAACAGAAAUAAACUGUCGGCGUUCAAGAACUCCAACACACGCACAUCUUGUCCUCACUGGACCUCCAACAGACACUCGGCUCAGCAUGGUGACGGUUCUUCUUGAAGGUUCUGAGGAAGCAGAAGCCCACGUGACAAGGUUUGAAUGAAAAAUGUUGGUCUUUCCCACCCUCUUGCUGGUCUUGUUGAAC